UACGGGGGGGGCAAGCGUUGUUCGGAAUUACUGGGCGUAAAGGGCUCGUAGGUGGCCAACUAAGUCAGACGUGAAAUCCCUCAGCUUAACUGGGGAACUGCAUUGGUGACUGGCGGGCUAGAGUAUGGCAGAGGGGGGUAGAAUUCCACGUGUAGCAGUGAAAUGCGUAGAGAUGUGGAGGAAUACCGAUGGCGAAGGCAGCCCCCUGGGCCAAUACUGACGCUCAUGCACGAAAGCGUGGGGAGCAAACAGG
rnacentral:rRNA from 1 species